AAAUAUGUUUUUUUAAAAAAACGUUAGGAAGAACAUUCACAGUAGCUUUAUUUCUAAUAGCCCUACACUGGAAACAACUGAAAGGUCCAGCAACAGUUAGGAAGAUAGGCACAUUGUUAUGUAUCAAUGCCAUGGAAUAUCAUUCAGCCAUAAAAGGAGAUUACACAUAUUGAUGCAUGUAAUGAUGUGGACAAAUCUCAAAAUGAUUAUGUUGAGUAAAGGAAGCCAGACACAAAAAUGUAUAUACCGUGGGUUCCAUUUAUGCGAAAUUAUAAACCAGACCGUGCUAAUUUACAGUGAUGGAAAUCGGAAUGGUGUUUGCCUCUGUGAAUGGUGGGAAUUUACUGGCCAGGAUUCCAAUGAACUUUCUAGGGUGAUGGCAGUGUUCUAUAUUUUGAUUGAGGUAGUGAGUAUACCCAGUGUAUACAAUGAUCAAAGUCAUAACAAUGCUUAAUGUCUGUGCAGCCCUUUUAUUGUAUAAUGUAAAUUAUACCUUCAGUCUUAAAAAUGUUUUCCUCAGCAGGACUCUUGAAGAAGUGACGGCCUUCUUCCCUCAUCAUCUCCACCCUGGGUACGCUCUUGUUCUGAAUCUCUUAAUACUCUACCUCUCUGGCCCGCACUUACACUUGAGUACCAAUGACUUUUAUAGGCUCAUGUCUUAGCUCCCCAGUAGGUGAAAGCAUCCUACAACAAAGUUAUGAUUGUGUUACUUCACUAUUCUUUACAACAAUGGUUGUCAACCUAGGCUGCAUAAUGUUGGACUCUCCCUGUGCCUUGGCUUGGGCCGCCAUAACAAAAUGCCAUAGACGAGGUGGCUGAAACAACAGAGAUUUAUUUUCUUACAGUUCUAGGAGCUGGAAGUCUGGGAUCAGGGUGCCAGCCUAUCUGGGUUCCUCUUGUUGGCUUGCAGAUGGCCAUCUUCUCACUGUGUCUCACAGCUCUCUGGUAUCUGUUCUUACAAGGAUACUAGUCCCAUCAUGACGGCUCUGCCCUCAUGACAUCAUUUAAAUCUAAUCACCUCCCAAAAACCUUGUCUCCAGAUACCAUCACAUAAGGGAUGAGGGUUUUAACAUAUGAAUUUGGGGGAACACAUCCAGUCCUUACCACUUGGGAAACGUUAAAAAAUCAUCUCCGGAAGUUCUCACACAGUUGAUGUGAAUUGGAACCUGGACAUGUAUAUUUCUCUGAGGUUCCUCUAUAAUGUGCACCCAGGAUUGGUGACCGUUGCUUUCUACCUUCCUGUUCAAGGUGAGGUCUAGGAAAUAGCAGCGUCAGCAUCACCUGGGACCUUCUUAAAAAUGCAAGAUCUCUGGUCCCAUCCCAGGCCUGUGAAUCCGACUCUGCAUGGUAACAGUAUCCCCUGCUGAUUCGUAUGCACCGUAAAGUCUGAAAAACACUGGUCUGCAGCCCCUUGCAUCGACUUGCAUACAGGUAUGAGAAUGCUCCAUCAAUCAUUUCCUGUUUGAAUUCAAGAUGAACAUUUUGCCAGCGAACCGAAUUUCACCUUUUUUCAUCUCGGAAGCCUGUCAAGUUGUGGAUCUUGCCUACAAAUAAUUGCACCACCGUGUAAAGAUUUCAUAUAUAGCCUAUAUAUCAUUGUCUAUUAGCAAACAAAAAAGCAGCAAAUAGACCCAACAUUAAAAACAAAAUCUUAAUGUUUUUGAAAAUAUACGACCAUCCCAGCGAUUCCAUCACAAUGAAUGAUGACCUCCUUAGCUUCAGGUGGAAGCAAAUCAAGUACUUUCUUGUACCUUGAUAUUUUUCACUUAGGUAACUCCAGAACGGAACAUAGAGGUCCACUUUAGUUUUAGUGCUGCAUAGUAUUUCAGCCAAACUCCCGGAAAAAUGAUGUCUACGGUCUCUAACACUUCUGCUCAUCUUCUAGAAAGUUCUCCAGUGAGGACUUUCGGCCCCGCCGCUCUGCCAGAACUGCUCUUGGCAAGUCACCAGGUAUCCAGUGGUGAGUUCUUGGUCGUCUUCUUGCUUUGCAGCCGCUCUGGUCAGCAACUGAGCUGAUCAAUCUGUUCUUCUUGGACCACUGUCUUCUCUUGGCUUCGGUGAUCCCAUACUCUCUCUUCCGACCAUAUACGCUGUUCCUUCUUGCUCUCUUUUGCUGGUUCCAUCUCCAUGAUGCCUUGAUGUUGGGAUGCCCCAGGUCCCAGUCUUUAGAUCUCACCACUGUCUCUGCCCCCUCCUUUGGUGAUCUAAUCGAAUCAUAAGAUAUUAGAUACUGUGUCUGUCUUAAAGGCCCCAAGUUGUCCCUGGCCUGGAUCUCUCUGGAAAACGUAAGACUCAUGUAUCGGACAUCUCUCCUUAAAUAUCAGAGAUCUUUCACGUUAAACAUGUCUAGAAUUUGGUCUUUUCCUAAAACCUGUGCCCCCCACACUCUGUCUCACUUUAGGCCGUAGUCAUUCCAUCCUUCCCGUUACUCAGACAAGAACCUUGACCUCACUCUUGUUCACACUUCACAUCCAAUCCAUUAGGGAACUUGCUGGCCCGACCCUCAGAAUAUACCCAGAUUCUCACCGUCUCAUCACUUCCACCACCAGUACCCUGGUCCAGGAAGCUGUCAUCUCUCACCUGGAUUAUCUCAAUAACUUCCUGCUUCCACUCAUGCGCCCCACAGACUGUUCUCCACAGAACACAGCAGCCAGAUUCAUCCUGUUAACACCUACCCGAUCACUUCGCCCUCUGCUCACAAGCCUGCAGUGGCUCACUCGGAGUUUAAAGGCCAAACGGGAGUCUCCUCCCACCCCUGAGAAUAUUCCUCUCUGACCUCUCCUACUUUUCUUCUCCCCUCUGAUAUUUCACUCCAGCCCCACCGGCCUUUUCGCUCUUCUGGUGCCAGCGCGAGCCUAGGCUAAUGCGUCUAAGGAGGCGAACAGAAUACAGAAACAGACUUCUCCAUAUAUGUGAAUGCCUUACUUAAAACGCUCAUUUUUAUCAUCUUCCAAAAUGAGAGGAAGUGAUACACUUUCCAAAGAAUGGUUCGGGGACAUUCAGGAAUGAAACUCAGGCGUACCUAAAGUCUGAGCCUCCUGCAGGAUACUCCUGUGAGACUGUCUUUCAUUUCACUCAGUCUCCUGUGUGGGCACGAGUGUGUGGGCACAUUAGCAGAGUCCCUCGAGCAGUCAGGUGAGGGGGAGAGCCAGGAGGGUAUAGAAGCCCAUGAGUGUGCUUCUAGGCCAUGGCAGAAUCCUCAUUGCUCGUGAUGGUGCCAUUCGCAGCCGCCUGUCUCUGAGGUCCCUUGGGAAUCUGGGAAGCCUUGGCUGUGUUUGGGAGCAUUGCUCUUUUAUCUUCUGCCUUCUCUAUGGAGAUGCAGCCACCUCUGUGUGUUUCCACAUCAGUUGCCAUUGUAGCAGGUACAUUGAACACACGGGUCGUAGAGGGUCCAAUUACGAAGCAACCUUACUUGUCUUUCCCAGGGUCUUUUAUAAGCCACCCCGUGGAGGUUUCUUUACUACCACCUGGAUGGAAACUUAGGGAGACACCUGAGUUCUCUGGUCACUAUCAAAGUAGUAGACGCAUGGAUCUCCAGUCACUUCAAGUCACAAAAUAUACUCUUAUUUUAGGAAUUAAAUUUCAUGUAACCAUCAAAAUCUUGCUUUGCAGAUAAGCCCCUUCUUGUCCCUUAAGCAAGUGAGAAGCCUUCAGUAGGGAUGGGGUUGUGAUCAGUUUCUUCUCUCUUAGCCCAUUCACUGCUUCUACCCUAUGACCCCCCCCCCCACCAUGUUAGUCACGGUUUCUGGUCCUUCCAGGAUGGGACUUGGGGAGACAGAGUGGUAACCACGGGGAAAGAUCUUUCUCAAUUGAUAUUAUUGUUGUCAAGCUUCUCCAGACCUGGCAGAGGCGUUGAGCUCUCUUUCUUGUCCAGGGGUUCUUAAGAGACCCACUAAUGGGAGAAGACGUCUUCAUUACAGUAAACUUCUUGAUUUCAGUGGAUGACAGGCUUCUGCAGGGCCAGAGCCAAGUGGCAGCCCAUAACAGCUAGAAGCAAGGUGGGUGCUGUUAUUGUGAUGGGCAUAGUGCCUGAGGCAGCAAGCAGAGUAUUUGAACACCCAGGGAUCUUUAGCGUUGGCUCAUUGUUCUCAGUGGCCCUGGGACCGAAAUAGAUGGGCAGUCGGCUAAGAAUGGCUUGAUGUAUGUAAUUAGGAAAUCUCCAGGUCUAAUGAACAGAAAUGUAAGUUGUUCGAUGGAGAGUCAUUGUUUAUCACCCAAGUCCCAGACCUGAGUCAGUUCAGAGAUACAGAAAUCCGGAGAUCACUGAUUCUCAAACUGUGGCCAAGGAGCAGCAGCAGCAUCACUUGGGAAUUUGUGAUACGUGCAAGGUUUUCAGGCCCUACCCAGUCCUACUGACACACACACUCUGACGGUGGGUCCCACAGUCUGCAUUCCGGCAAGCCCUUCCACUCAUUCUGAUGCAUGAUCAGGUUUGAGAACUCUAACCGUAGACAAAGAAAGGGCUGGAUAGCAUUUUGUAAGCUUCUAGCAUAAAUCUUCCUUUAAAGUCUUUCCAAAAGACCUGCAGUCAUUCACUGGGUGACUGUGCACUGACGAGGGGAGAAUAGCCAGCCAGACCUUGAGGGGAUUUCUGGACAUUGGUUCUGAGUCAGCGCUAACCUCCAGAGGCCCAAAAUGCCUCUGGAGCACCGGGGGUGGGUGUCACUUAUGGUUAUCUGGGGAUAAAUGAAAUUUUGGCCUGUGGCUGCCUCACAGGAUUCCAGUGGGUCCAUUGAUCCGCAUAUGGUUAUUUUCCCACUCCUGAAAACAGUUGUAAUAGGUAUCCAGCAACUCGAAGGACCCCAUUUUGAUUCCCUAACCUGAGCAGUGAGUCUUAGGAUAGGAGGCAUGGCCUUGCAGAAGCUUCCUGGAAUCUGCCGCUCCUGAAUUGGAGUAAACCGAAAGCAAUACCGUAUCCCUGGGGGGGCACUUCAGAGACCACGGUUUCCAUCUAACCCUUGAACAAACAGGGUUCGUUCUGUCGUACCCUGAUUUAAUUCAUCUGUGUGGCACGUGCAGCAGUGAGAAGGUUAUUGGGGAGGGCUUGUGGGUUCCUGUAAAAUUAUUCGGGGACUGGACCCAAUGUAGUCUCUUUACUGGAUGACACAGCCGCGCGCCUGGCACGUUGUAUGCAGUCAUUGAUCUGGCAGAUGGUUUUCUUCCUCAUUACCAAAUUAGCAAAGAUUACCAGCAGGAGCUUGCUUUCAAACUAGCAGGAUCAGCAAAACACCCUCACUGUCCUACCUCAGGCCUAUGUCGACUCAUCUGCUCUCUGAUAAGAGCUGAUCUGCAGGCACCUCGAUCACCCUGAUGGUCCCCAGAAGAGCAUGCUGAUAUAUUAUGUUAUUGACAUGGUGAUUAGGACAUAGCACAUACCUUAGAUACCUUAAUAAGACACAUGUAUGCCAGACGGUGGGAAAUAACCCCCCAGAAAAAUCAGAGGCUUACUUCCUAGUGGCGUUUCCAGUAGUCUGGAAAAUUUGGCAUUUGCUCUCCAAAGUGAAAGGUGAAUUGCUAUAGUUUGUACCACCUACCACUGAGAAAGAGCUACAAUGUUUUGUACCUCUUUUGAUUUUUGCAAAAAAAUUUUUAACGUUUAUUUUUGAGACAGAGCAUGAAUGGGGGAGGAGCAGAGAGAGAGGGAGACGCAGAAUCCGAAGCAGGCUCCAGGCUCCGAGCUCUCAGCACAGAGUCUGAUGGGGGGCUCGAACUCACGAGCCAUGAGAUCGUGACCUGAGCCGAGGUCGGAUGCCCAACCGACUGAGCCACCCAGGCUCCCCUGUACCUCUCUUGAUUUUUAAGAUAGCAUGUACCUUUUGAGUGUAUUGUUCAUAGCAACAUUUUGUGUAACACGCAAGGCGGCCAGUUUUGCGUUGGGGCCAGAGUGAAGGAAGGCUCACUAGUGGAGUUUCUCAGCCCUCUUGACGUUUUGGAGACCGAUCAUUCUUUCAUGUAGGAGGCUAUCCUGAGAAUUAUAGAAUGUUCAGCAGCGUCCCUGGUCUCUACCCACGAGAUUCCAGGAGAACUACUACCCAGUUAUGACAACCGAAAAUGUCUACAGAUUGCCUAAUAUGCUUGGGGGAGCAAAAUCGCUCCCAUUUGAAAACCCCUGGUCUACCGCAUGUCUAGUUAAGGUUGAGGUGACUUUAGCACUCGCUGACAGCUUGACUUCAGCCUUGCAAGAGACCCUGAGCGAGAUCUUCCCAGCUAAGCUGUUCCCAGGUUCCUGACUCCCAGAAAUCAUGUGAGAUAACAAGUGCAUGUCGCUAAGUUUUAGGGUAAUUUCUCACGUAGCAAUAGAUAACUCAUACACUGAGCCCGCAGGCGGUAAGAUUGGGCAUACGCACAGCCACAAUCCAUCAUCCAUUGUCAAUAGUGUAUUACCAGAUUGGGGUUGAACUGUGUCCUUCUGGAACUGACUGUUGACACAGGAAGAAAACAUUUGGGCCAGGUUCACAGACGGUCCCUUGUAAUUUGAAGGCACCAGGUGGAUUUGGGCUGUCGAAACAUUAUAGCUCACGUCAGGAAGGUGGUAAGGGAAGUUCUCUCAAGGCCAACACAUCCACUAUUUACUUUGUCUGGAUGGAGAGCUGGCCAGAGGUAGGGAUUUACACAAUUCACGGGUGACUAAUGGUUUGAUUGGCAUAUUGGUGACAGGGGGGUCUGAGGAAGAGGUUUGCUGAUGGGCGCUGUCCUAUGUGAAUACUUACCAUGGGCUAUUCGCUGAUGAGACUUAGUAAUCAAUUGGACAAGACGGUCCAUUCUGUGGAUGUUGUUCAGCCCUUUUCUUAGCCACUUGAGGCUUAUUCAGUAGACUCAUGUGGACCAUAGCUAUUGGGGCAGGGAUGGAAGCUAGAUGUGGGCUCAAUAAUAUGGGCUUACCCUUCCCAAGGUGGAUCUGGCUACCAUCACUGCUGACUGCCUUAUCUGCUGACAGCAGAGACCAGUAUUGAACCCUGAUGUGGCAUUCUUCCCCAGGGGGACCACUGAGCCACCUGGUAGCAAGUUUAUUACAUUGAACUCAUUCCAUUAUGGAAGGCAUGAUUUUAUUCUUACCGGAAUAGGCACUGUUUCUAAAUAUGCUGUGUAUCCCCUGCCUGCAAUGCUGUUACCAGUCCCACCGUCUGUUAAUUUUCAUAACGCUUUAUCUAAUGACACGAUGUCCUACACAACAUUGCUUAUGACCAAAGAACUGAUUUUACAGCAAAGAGAGCAUAGAAUUGGGCUCAUGCCCUUAGGACUCACUGGUUUACAAAUGUGCUCCAUGACCCAAGGCAGUUACCAUUAUAAAGUAUAGGAGUAGAUCAUUGAAGUUUCAAAAAUGGCACCGUUGGGAGACAACUCUCUGCAGUUUGGGUGGCUUUCUUGCAGAAUGUGGAUUAGACUUUGGAUCAGCAGCAAAAAAAGUAGUGCUGUGUCUCUUAUGGUCAGGAUACACGGAUCUGGGAAUCAAGGGGAGAAAAUGGGAGCGUUUCCCCUCACUCUCACAUGCAGCACAUCACUCAGAAUAUUUGCCUUCCUUCUUUGCAGCAUGGAUCAGCUGGUUUAUAGGUCUUUAUUCUAAGAAGAGAAUGCUUCCUCUAGGGACAUACAGUUGUUCCAGUGAACAGGAAGUAGAUAGUGCCAUCUGCCCGUUUCAAGUUGCCUACACCACUGAAUUGACAGGCAAAGAAGAGGGUUACUGUUCUGGCUGGGGUGAUUGGUCAGAAUUCCCAAGAGGAAUUGGGUUGCUGUGACACAGUGGUGGUAGGAAAGACUAUGUCUGGAGCCCAGGAAAUUCUCUUGGGUGCUUCUUAGCCCAUCGAUGUGCUAAGAGUUACUGGAGUAAUAUUGCAAACUGCCAGACUACUGAAAACUCAGGCCGUUCUGGGGUGCCUGAGUGGCUCAGUUGGUUGAGCGUCCAACUUCAGCUCAGGUCAUGACCUCACAGCUUGUGAGUUCGAGUCCCAC